rnacentral:lncRNA from 1 species
CAACAGCCGCCUCCAAAUGCAGCUUAGCUGUGAUUCGCCCUGGGGGGGAAAAAGGCAAGAAUAGCCCUGCAAGGUCCUAGAAGCUUUAAGAUUCAUCGCACUGAACUUGAUACAUACAGUAAAUCACCUUGAAAAUGAAUCAUCUGCUAGUUCGGUAUUUUCUCCUUACAAUCACUCCCUCCCAGGGCAUGUAAUUAAUUUUCUGAGCUUUGGGGAGGAGAAAA